UCUCGGCAACGGAUAUCUUGGCUCUUGCAUCGAUGAAGAACGUAGCAAAAUGCGAUACCUGGUGUGAAUUGCAGAAUCCCGUGAACCAUCGAGUUUUUGAACGCAAGUUGCGCCCGAGGCCUCUCGGUUGAGGGCACGUCUGCCUGGGUGUCACGCCAAAAGACACU
rnacentral:rRNA from 1 species